rnacentral:lncRNA from 1 species
GCGCUUGCCUAGCGCCCGCGGUGAGGAUCUUAGGUUUGACCUUCAGCACCACAUAAAGGAAAUAAGUGAAGGUACUGUCCACCUUCAACCAAAAGAAUUAAGAAGGAAAACUAGAAAGGGCUGGAUGGGGCUGGGGUAGAGUGCCCCCAGGGGCGGGGGUGGGUUCAACAGAAGAGAAGAACUUAAACCCUGAGAACUGUCAACACAUUGGAAAAAAGAAGGCCUAAGUAAAUGAAAUGACGUUCCCUAUAUGUGGGUCGAUACGGGGUCAAGUUGAUCUACCAAGUCAGUGUAGUCUUCAUUGAGCUCAUGUCUGGCUUCUUUGCCCAGAUUCACAAGCUGAUCCUCAAAUUGAUCUGUAAGUCGGGGAAUCCAGAGUGACCUACACACUGUUGAAAAGUAAUAAAGGUGGCGCAUGCCUAUAAUCCCAGCGGCUUGGGAGGCUGAGGCAGGAGGAUUGCGAGUUCAAAGCCAGCCUCAGCAACAGUGGGGCGCUAAGCAAUUCAAUGAUAUUCUGUCUCACAACAGGGCUGGGGAUGUGGCUCAGUGGUCAAGUGCCCCUGAGUUAAUCCCCAGCACCACCCCCAAAUAGUAACAAAGGUGACCAACUCCUCAAUUUUAAAACUUACCACAAAGCUAACGAAAUCAAGAAAAGCCAAGUGCUGUGUUGCACAUCUUCACCCCAGCAACUCCGGAGGCAGAGGCAGGAGGAUUGCCAGUUCAAGGCCAGCCUCAGCAACCUAGUGAGAACCUAUCUCAAAAAAUAAGGGUUGGGGGGCUGGGGCUGUAGCUCAGUGGUAGAGCACUUGCCUUGCAUGCGUGAGACUCUGGGUUCGAACCCCAGCAC